UACGUAGGGUGCGAGCGUUGUCCGGAAUUAUUGGGCGUAAAGAGCUCGUAGGCGGCUUGUUGCGUCGGAUGUGAAAGCCCGGGGCUUAACUCCGGGUCUGCAUUCGAUACGGGCAGGCUAGAGUUUGGUAGGGGAGAUCGGAAUUCCUGGUGUAGCGGUGAAAUGCGCAGAUAUCAGGAGGAACACCGGUGGCGAAGGCGGAUCUCUGGGCCGAUACUGACGCUGAGGAGCGAAAGCGUGGGGAGCGAACAGG
rnacentral:rRNA from 1 species